rnacentral:rRNA from 1 species
UGGAGCUUUAAACCCGAUGUCACCCAUUUUCCUCUACACCCUAAUAUUCAAUUUGGCCCUGCCCUGUCGGUUUUAGGUUGGGGUGACCACGGAGUAUAAUAUACCCUCCAUGAAAAAGGGAGUAAUAAUCCUUAUUAGAGAACAACACUUCUAAAAAUUAAAACAUUAAUUUAUAAUGAUCCGAUAUUCGAUCAACGAACCAAGUUACCCUGGGGAUAACAGCGCAAUCUGCCUCAAGAGCCCCUAUCGACAGGCGGGUUUACGACCUCGAUGUUGGAUCAGGGCAUCCCAGUGGUGCAGCAGCUACUAAAGGUUCGUUUGUUCAACGAUUAAAACCCU